rnacentral:ncRNA from 1 species
UCUACAACUUGGCUUUGGAAGUUGGUUGCCCCGGAUCGCAGCUUCCCUGUAGUGUUCCUACAAGCACCAAUGAGAAAAUGGUGAGAUUGCUUGAGAUCUCCCUAAAGUUGGCUUCACCUGCUUUAUGAAGUAACCCUUCCCCCGGAUUUUGUCUUUCCUGCAAUGUAUCCCAUGGCCCGAAUGAGAAAAUGUCUUUUUAACCACAUUGGUGCUAUCGGCGCCAAUGUGCUCAUAGGAGCACAUUGGUGCUCAUAGAAACUUGCCCGAGUUCUUUCCCCAAGGUUGGCUUCACCUCAAUCAGAAAACUGCCCCUUUUCUAAGAUUGUGGCUUCCCUGCAGUCUUCCUAUGUGCACCAAUGAGAAAACUUUUGGUUUUGCACAUUCGUGUUACACUGCACAUUGGCACACAUUAAUCCGGUGCGCUCGCGUCGGCCCUUGAAAAUCCGAGUGAGGGAGUGUGAUUUUCGUGCCGGACCGUACCCACAUCCGCAGCAGGUCUCCAAGGUGAACAGCCUCUAGUCGAUGGACCAAUGUAGGUAAGGGAAGUCGGCAAAACGGAUCCGUUACCUUGGGAUAAGGAUUGGCUCUGAGGACUGAGCCGGUCGGGCUGGGGACCUGAAGCAGGAACGGCACUGCACCGGGACUGGGCGGGGCUCGCCGUUCACGCGGCGCGGCCAAGCCCGGACCAGCGUCGGGACCUUCCUGUGGAAAGCCUCAGCUGCGCGGCGUCCGAGGGCUUCGUGCCCAAAGUGCUAUGCUUCGGCCGGCAAAGAACAGUCAACUCAGAACUGGCACGGACCGGGGGAAUCCGACUGUCUAAUUAAAACAAAGCAUUGCGAUGGCCGCUGGUCGGUGUUGACGCAAUGUGAUUUCUGCCCAGUGCUCUGAAUGUCAACGUGAAGAGAUUCAUCAAAGCGCGGGUAAACGGCGGGAGUAAGGGGAAAAUCCAACCGCAGACCUCCACGUGGUCCCUUCUGGGCAUCGGAGUCUAUCUCCGAUGGCAGACGUGCGGCAAUGGUGCACACGGCCGUGUCAUGCAGCCGUGUGUGUGCAACCACGUAAUGUGUUUGCACCUUGCAUAACAUCGCAAACUGAGCAGCCCUCAGAUUUACUUGUCGUUCGGGUUGCCAGCCCAUUCGACAAAAUUUCACUUGGCCUGGACAGACAAAAGAAAUUAACUAUACGUGCCUGCCAGUUGGCAGGUGCACCAAGUGU